AUGAACCCCAAACUUCCCAGCCCGGGUGGCAGAGGCUCUGCGGUCAACCACAGCAGGGCACUCUCCUGCCCUCUUUCUCCUCCAUCCUCCCCUUCGGUCCUCGAGAAGCGGAGCCUACCCGAGACUCCUCUGGCUUCGGAGACCCACUCUUUUAACUCCAAGGAUUCGCAGGAGCCUCGCCUCUGCAGCCCGGGGCACGGCGCCCGGACGCCGUCCUCUACAAGUGGGACCGCCGGACAAAGUGCAAACUCUAUCGGGAAAGGGGGCGCGCAGGCACUCCCGCCGGCGGCGCGCCCAGGUGCUGGCCCGCUCCGCGGACACUGGGCUGGGUGGGCGCCCGGAGCUUACCUCUGCGCGCGGGCCGCGGGCGCUCGGGGCAGCGACUCCUCCAGCUGGCAAGCUGUUGCUCGCGCUCCGGCGGUGGCAGCGGUCCCGCCAGGGCUGCGCUGGGGCUUCCCGCAGACGCUCGCCCGCGCUCUGCGGCAGCCCGGGCGGUGGCAGCAGCGCUGGCGCUGGCGACCGCUCGGCCCGGCGCGGCUCUGGAACCGUCCAACUCUUGCCCGCCCCGGGGCCGAGGCCCUCGCCCAGGUGAGGGGCGUGUGCCCGCAGCCUGCUGGGCGCGCCCCGCCUGCACCGGUAGCGGGCGGGCCCCCCGGCCUGGCCGCGGCGCCAACGCCACGCCCGCGCGCGGCAGCGGGCGACGGUUCCCCGUGCGCAGCGUGGCGAGCGCACCCGGCGAGGCGAAUGAGGCGGGUCUGCUCGGGGGCUCGUCGGUACUGCAGAGCCUCCCGCAGCCUCGCCGCCUUAAAUCCCGCCUUUCCAGGCGUGCGCGCACCGCCGGCGAGAGCAGGCUCUGUCCCACCGAGCGGGCGCCGCGCGGUCCUCAGCCGCGGGGCUCGCAACCCCUCCAGAAAUUCGGGGCGAUGGCAGGGGUCCCGAGAGCGGGUGCCGAGCCGCGCGGUGAAGGCGGGUGUCCCCGGUGCGGGUCAAGCCGGAGGGACACUCUCUCCUCAGAGCUCGUGA
rnacentral:lncRNA from 1 species